rnacentral:rRNA from 1 species
CCUACGGGAGGCAGCAGUGAGGAACAUUGGUCAAUGGGCGAGAGCCUGAACCAGCCAAGUCGCGUGAGGGAGUACUGCCCUAUGGGUUGUAAACCUCUUUUGUCGGGGAGCAAAAGCCGGACGUGUCCGGCUGUGAGAGUACCCGAAGAAAAAGCAUCGGCUAACUCCGUGCCAGCAGCCGCGGUAAUACGGAGGAUGCGAGCGUUAUCCGGGUUUAUUGGGUUUAAAGGGUGCGCAGGCGGAUUUUUAAGUCAGCGGGAAAAUCGUGGGGCUCAACCCGAUCCAGCCGUUGAAACUGGGGAUCUAGAGUGUGCGAGAGGUAUGCGGAAUGCGUGGUGUAGCGGUGAAAUGCAUAGAUAUCACGCAGAACCCCGAUUGCGAAGGCAGCAUACCGGUGCACAACUGACGCUCAGGCACGAAAGCGUGGGUAUCGAACAGGAUUAGAUACCCGGGUAGUC